AGAAAAUAACGACUCCCAUUUGUGUGAGACGUGGUCAUCUUUAUGUUUGAAUUUGCCGCGUUUCGCACAGACUCGGGUUAUCGAUGGACAUGACAUAUUAUAUGACAUAACAACAUGAAUACUCGUUGGUCGGGAUUCUAACCUAAAAGUAUCGAAGAUUGAAGUUUUGAAUUAUUGGUUUGAAGGUUAUUGAUUUUAAUAGAAAAUAAUAAGUAAAUCACCUGGAGUAAAAACUUUUAAUGUUGUUUUCUGUUUUUAUUGCAGAAACCCAACUGAGUUUUUAUUUCGAGAAGGAGUGUUAUAUAAUAACUUUAUUACAAAACAACAUUAUUGUGAAUACUUCGUGAAAAUGGAGAAACUGAGGUUCGACUUUAAAAUGCGAGGAGCGUCAGAUGGGAAAACUACAAUAUUGUGCCUAACCUCAAUCGGCACGCCGGAUGGUCGUUCUUUUACAGUACCGGAUGAAUACCAGCCAACAAGUUUACACAAAGAAUUAAUAACGUCACAAGUGUAUGGCAGAGUGAAAAACACGUUGGGAAAAAGAAACCAAUUCAGGAAAGUUUGGAUAACUUUAACUGAAAAUAUGAAAAAAGCUUACUUAGAUGAGGAAGGUAACUUAUUAUUUGAAAAUUUUUAUUUAGAGGAGAUUCCAGACAAGAUAGCUGAAAUAUCUACCACAAGCACGUCAGAGGACACAAUAAAGAAGUUGCUAGAAAAAGUUCUAGAAUCCAAAGAACAAACUUCUGAAGUUAAAAACUUAAACAAAAUUGCUAAAGAUUUCAUGAUUGAAAAAUUUGAUGAAAAAACGUCCAAUGCCAGCCAAUGGAUUGAACAAUUUGAAAAAGAAUGUGUUCGCUGUGUAGUGGCAGAAGAUAGGAAAAAAAUUGAGAUUUUGAAGUUUUUUCUUGAAAAAGGUAGUGCUGACUGGUACACAUGCAUGAUUUUAAAAUACUCUAUAGAAUCAGAAUGGAAGGUGAAAGUGUCAAUAUUUUGCCCCACGAAUUGAAGACAAAUUGUACGAAGGAAGAUCUAGGAAGAGAUCGACAAUUGGCAUAUGAAAACACCAAAAAGUCCCACAAUCAAAAUGCAGAACGAUACAACAAACACAGGAAAGAAAUUACAUUGAAUGCUGGGGACUUGGUAUAUGUGGAAAAUGGAAACCGCCUCAAUAGGAAAAAGCUGGACGAAAUAAGAAUCGGACCAUACAAAAUACUAAAGAGAAUCUCAAAUUCAAUCUAUGAGGUUGAUACCGGACACAAGAAAACAGAAUCAAACCUUUUUCAUAUAACAAAAAUAAUUCCGGUGGCUGACGAUACGACUUGACGAACAAUCACAUAUGUGUUAUGUGUUUGUUCUCCUUCGGGGGGGGGGGAGAUAUAAAGAAAAUAACGACUCCCAUUUGUGUGAGACGUGGUCAUCUUUAUGUUUGAAUUUGCCGCGUUUCGCACAGACUCGGGUUAUCGAUGGACAUGACAUAUUAUAUGACAUAACAACAUGAAUACUCGUUGGUCGGGAUUCUAACCUAAAAGUAUCGAAGAUUGAAGUUUUGAAUUAUUGGUUUGAAGGUUAUUGAUUUUAAUAGAAAAUAAUAAGUAAAUCACCUGGAGUAAAAACUUUUAAUGUUGUUUUCUGUUUUUAUUGCAGGUGAGACUAUUCCUAGCUGUCUUUUGUAAUUUUAUCUUGUGAACGGAAGAUUAAUAAAUGAAUCUGUUUUUAUUGCAGAAAC